GCUACUUUUGGUAUACUUACUUACUUUUGGUAUGGAUAAAAUAUAUGGGAGUGAGUGUGUCUGGGUGUGUAUCCGAGGGAAGGCAAGGAAAUGAGUUGUUUUGGGGAAUGACAGCCCCGCGUCCCGUUCCUCUCCCAACCAUUUAAGAAGUAACUAAAGAGUUUGGGAACGGCUCUUUGGAAGAAAAAAUAUAUCGUCUAUAAUUUCUCACCGAAGACCCUGGAGAGAAGCGUUUGAUCCAACUGGUUCCUAUACAAAAACUUCGUCAAAAAGAGUGGAUUCGUUUGAGGACAGAGCAACUCUGGCAAGAUCGUUAUUGGGGGCGGGGAGGGGGGGUUGCGAUGGAGAAAAGAAGGGAAAGGGGAAACACGAGAAAGACACCUAGAUAUUUUUUUAAGUGCUCAAAAGGCGAGCUUUCUUGGGAUGCUGCAGGGAUUCUCUUUAGGGACCACAUCCAGGUGCCACGAAUAUUGCAAGGUUCAUUUUUUUUAGCACCACCCGGUCCUUCCCAUCUCCCUUCCAACAUUCCAUGUACUUCUCAAAAAAUAAGUCACUUACAGAAAAAGAACCAUUCAUGCCACAUUUCUUCCAGAAAAAACACCCCCUCUCCACCUUAUAUAUUUUUUUCUGCAGCCUUUUUCAAAGCAGAAAAGGUCUCUUCGGUGGACAUCCCCCUUCAAUGUAACAGAUAUCAAAUCCUCCAGAAAAAGAUAAAAGAGAUUCGCUUACCUUUCGACGCCCAUCAUCCUGUGGUUAAGGGGAGGAGGAAGAGGAGGAGGAGGAGGAGGAGGAGAAGGGGGAAGAAUAGAAUUGUGUUUGCUUUUAUGUGCUAGCUGACAAAUAUUGUCCCAACCUGAGAGCCGUCCAUUGCGACUUCGGAAAGCUUUUCCUUUGCCCGAGUCCUUUUUUUUUUUUUUGCACAGAAAAAUGGAGUAACUUCCCUCUUUGGAGUCUGACAAAAAGCCUCCAUCCGGUGCAGAUUCUCCAUCUCUCUCUCUCCAUCACUAGACGGAGAAACACACUCUCUCUCCCCCCCCCUCCCCAAAUCAGCAUGGAAAUGUAGCCCAGAAAAUUAGGAAAGGAAGGGGGAGGGGGAAAAAUCAAUAAUAGUCGCAAUCUAAACUCACUGCUGGGUGUGUGUGGGUGUGCGUGUGUGCAUAUCCGCCUUCUCCUCCUAUUUUUAGCCCUAUCGAGCUUACACAUGUAAGUGAGGAAAAAAAAUGUUAAAAGAGACGCGAGUCCUACAGAGGACGGUGAUCCGACCCAAGAUACAGCGGCCAAAAGAAUGGUAGAAUAACCACAUGGGAAAUCAUAAAAAGUUCAUGUUCACGGUUAGCAGUCCACAUGACCAGCUCUGGCCAAUCGGAGAACCCAGCCACUCAUAAAGUUCUAUCACAAAGUUGUAAAUUUUCAUAAAACAACAAGGAAUUUAUUGCAUUUCUUCAUGACUGCCUUAACAGCAGUCUUUUUCUCCGCCGCCAUCUUUUCUUUAAAAAAAAAACCCCGAAGAGAAGAAUAUGCAAAGAUUCUGCACGCCCCCCCCCCCACCACUCCCCGACGGGAAUCUCGAACAACCCCUGUUCUAGUAAAGGUUAAAAGAACCUACUUUUAUAAGACUAAAGAUUUGCUAGAGCAUUUCACUCUCCAAAGGUCCUUGCUAUUUUGCUAUAGGGUGUGUGUACUGUGUGUGCGUUUUUGUGUGUAUAUUUAUAUAUUUACUUGGAUUAUUAUUUUUUUAAUUACUAAAGAGAGCAUUCCGCUCAGGAAUCCAGCGAUAUAUUGUUUCGAAUGGUCUUUGUUAAGGCAAAGAGCCUGCUUCGAUUAUUUCAAACUAUUUAUUGUUUUCUCCUUAAAGCGGUUGAUAUUUUGAAAUCUAGGCGGUUUCCCUUCUGGAAAUUCACCCACAAAUUUGUAAGAUUUGACCCCUCCCCUCAACCAGAAUGGAAUGGAUUUGAGUUUUUGGGAUAAUUAUGCAGCGUAAGUUUGCAUUUCAGACAGACAGAUGGACAGGUAUGCAAUCAUAUGCCACUCCGUGCGCUCACACAAAUUCAUGUAUGCAUGUAUGCAUGUAUGUAUGUAUAUGUCUGUCUGGUGUUACAGAUACAGCCAUACAUACGUAAUACAGGGAAAGAGAGAUGCACAGGCGCAGUACUGCACCCAGAUGCGUCCACUACCGCAGUGGCACAUGCCACGGAAACAAUAGUAGCGCCCCAAUGCAGCAAAAUCGUCAGAGGUGGGCGAACGGGGUCCAGUUGCUACUUGGGAAAGGUCUGUUGGAUUAAGAUCCACUUUGCCAAGGAAACAGCAAUAUUUGUUUUCGUUGGUGUUUUUAUUUUAUUUUUUUAAGGAGGAAACAUAGUACCGCACGUUAGUAUCUGCAAUGGGCUUGCUAUGCAUGGUUACACAGGCGGGCAGAGCUGCAGGUAAACCCGCAAACACUCAAUGGCACGGCAGCGGGUAGCCACUCCAUACCCAAAUCUCAGAAUCAGAAUAGACCGACCAUUUUGCUCAUAGGUCGUUUUAUUUGGGCCUGAUAUUUGCAGGAAGCAUCUAUUCAGUGUGAAUUUGUGAAUGUGUGUACCUUAUUUGUGUCUACAGAACACACGCUGCGGAUAGGUAACAACACACAGGCGCGUCCACAGGUAUGGACAAUUUAUGCCCAUUCACACGAAUACGUAAACACAAACCCCGGCUGUGUGUUUAGGGGUGUUUAGUGCCUCUCUAAGAAGAGAUCUAUCUAACAUCUACCUGACAGAUUAUCUGUGUAAACAUCGGUCAGAAGUGUUGUUUUUUUCUGGCAAAUAUUUUAUUUGAAAUGUUAGGUUUUUCUGUGAAAGAUUCAACUGGAAAUGCAUUUUUUUCCCAGCACAUUUUUUAAAGAGCUGUCAAUAUAUAAUAGCGAGGACUCCUUCCUUUUCUUUCGAAAGUUUAUCUGUACCUUUAUUAAAAAUCCUUUGCAGGCAGGAAGAAUAUUGUCUUUAAAAGUGAUUGUUGUUAGGGAAAGGUAGAUUUUAAAAUAUCGCCAAAAUACCAAGUACUUCCAAUUUGUUUAUGUGGGUAUAGAAAGGAAAGCAAAGACAAAUCCAUUUGCAACCCCAACCGUAGCCUGUUUUAUUUUCCAUUAUUCCACCUUAGAGGCUAAAGCUAUAUCCAAUACAUCCCGGAGACUGUAGAAUCUUGCCAUUCAAGCUUCUCAUUUAAAAAAAUAAAAUAAAAUAAAGGAUAUAUUGAUAUCAUC